rnacentral:piRNA from 1 species
UGUUAGGUGCAGAGUGUGCGGCCCG